rnacentral:rRNA from 1 species
GAUGAACGCUGGCGGCGUGCUUAACACAUGCAAGUCGAACGGAAAGGCCCAAGCUUGCUUGGGUACUCGAGUGGCGAACGGGUGAGUAACACGUGGGUGAUCUGCCCUGCACUUCGGGAUAAGCCUGGGAAACUGGGGCUAAUACCGGAUAGGACGAUGUUUUGGAUGCCAUUGUGGAAAGUUUUUUCGGUGUGGGAUUAGCUCGCGGCGUAUCAGCUUGUUGGUGGGGUAAUGGCCUACCAACGCGUCGACGUGUAGCCGGCCUGAGAGGGUGUACGGCGACAUUGGGACUGAGGUACGGCCGCGAUACGGACGGGAGGCAGAAGGGGGGAAGAUUGCACGAGCGGCGCAAGCCUGAUGCAGAGAGGCUGCGUGGGGUAUGACGGUCUUCGGGUUGAAAACUACUUUCGCUAGGGACGAAGCGUUUUGUGACGGUACCUGGAGAAGAAGCACCGGCUAACUACGUG